rnacentral:rRNA from 1 species
AGAGUUUGAUCCUGGCUCAGGAUGAACGCUAGCUACAGGCUUAACACAUGCAAGUCGAGGGGAAACGACAUCGAAAGCUUGCUUUUGAUGGGCGUCGGCCGGCGCACGGGUGAGUAACGCGUAUCCAACCUGCCCACCACUUGGGGAUAACCUUGCGAAAGUAAGACUAAUACCCAAUGACGUCUCUAGAAGACAUCUGAAGGAGAUUAAAGAUUUAUCGAUGAUGGAUGGGGAUGCGUCUGAUUAGCUUGUUGGCGGGGUAACGGCCACCAAGGCGACGAUCAGUAGGGGUUCUGAGAGGAAGGUCCCCCACAUUGGAACUGAGACACGGUCCAAAACUCCUACGGGAGGCA